GACGAACGCUGGCGGCGUGCUUAACACAUGCAAGUCGAACGGAAAGGCCCUGCUUUUGUGGGGUGCUCGAGUGGCGAACGGGUGAGUAACCCGUGAGUAACCUGCCCUUGACUUUGGGAUAACUUCAGGAAACUGGGGCUAAUACCGGAUAGGAGCUCCUGCUGCAUGGUGGGGGUUGGACAGUUUCGGCGGUUGGGGAUGGACUCGCGGCUUAUCAGCUUGUUGGUGGGGUAGUGGCUUACCAAGGCUUUGACGGGUAGCCGGCCUGAGAGGGUGACCGGCCACAUUGGGACUGAGAUACGGCCCAGACUCCUACGGGAGGCAGCAGUGGGGAAUAUUGCACAAUGGGCGGAAGCCUGAUGCAGCAACGCCGCGUGCGGGAUGACGGCAUUCGGGUUGUAAACCGCUUUCGCCUGUGACGAAGCGUGAGUGACGGUAAUGGGUAAAGAAGCACCGGCUAACUACGUG
rnacentral:rRNA from 1 species